UACACUCCUGCGGGAGGCAGCAGUGGGGAAUUUUGGACAAUGGGCGAAAGCCUGAUCCAGCCAUGCCGCGUGCAGGAUGAAGGCCUUCGGGUUGUAAACUGCUUUUGUACGGAACGAAACGGCCUUUUCUAAUAAAGAGGGCUAAUGACGGUACCGUAAGAAUAAGCACCGGCUAACUACGUGCCAGCAGCCGCGGUAAUACGUAGGGUGCAAGCGUUAAUCGGAAUUACUGGGCGUAAAGCGUGCGCAGGCGGUUAUGUAAGACAGUUGUGAAAUCCCCGGGCUCAACCUGGGAACUGCAUCUGUGACUGCAUAGCUAGAGUACGGUAGAGGGGGAUGGAAUUCCGCGUGUAGCAGUGAAAUGCGUAGAUAUGCGGAGGAACACCGAUGGCGAAGGCAAUCCCCUGGACCUGUACUGACGCUCAUGCACGAAAGCGUGGGGAGCAAACAGGAUUAGAUACCCUUGUAGUCCC
rnacentral:rRNA from 1 species